UAGGGAAUCUUCGGCAAUGGACGAAAGUCUGACCGAGCAACGCCGCGUGAGUGAAGAAGGUUUUCGGAUCGUAAAACUUUGUUGGUAGAGAAGAACGUUGGUGAGAGUGGAAAGCUCAUCAAGUGACGGUAACUACCCAGAAAGGGACGGCUAACUACGUGCCAG
rnacentral:rRNA from 1 species